rnacentral:lncRNA from 1 species
GACUUUGGACUCACGUAGGCAUAGGAGAACGAAACUUCUGUACAUUUUAAUCUGAAUAAUUCUUCAGGAUUUAAAAUUAAUUGGCUCUGGCUUGGUUGGACCGUACUCGGAUCUCGCCACCUCUGCGUUUCCCGAGUCACUGGCGAAGAGGUCCCAGUUCCUCUGGGAAUCGUCCUGUAUGCAACAUCUUCACAAGAGUGGCAGGCAGUUGAAUCUCUGGCCUUCGUGGGACCACUGGACAUCUGGCAGAGAACCAGGAAACCACGGUUCCCUUCUGUGAGUCCCUCAGCCGGAAAACUACAAGGAGCCAGUUGUCCAGCACAGUGUCAUGGGACAGUGGGCCCUGGUGCCACAAUGCCCGGCAUCUCCACCAGAUACAGCUUUGAGAUCUUCAUGAUGAAGCUUGCUCCAAUCCAAGGGCUGUCAGGUGGGGUUUGCGGUUCAGCUGCUAACCUUUCUUUGAUCCAAAUCCUGUCUUCACUGGCUUCAAGAAUCCUGUCUUCACUGGCUUCAAAACUGGGAUGAAGGAGGCUCCUUAGUGGAGAGCAAAGCAAAGAGAAACUCAAAUUGGAUCCAUAUUAAAGAAGAGAAGGAUGGAUUUGUUUAGACAACACAAACCUAGGAAGGGUUUGAGAGGUGAAACAAACUGGGUUAUGGAUGAACGGGGGCAAUUGGAAUGUAGAAUUGAAGCAGUAAUUAACAUCUUGACCCAGUUUUGGUGACUUGGUCACUGCAGACCUUUCAGAAUGUGUGGUGCUCAUUCUUGUUAAACCAGUUGAGAAUUUCCCCAAUCCUUUGGCCCUGCGCACAAGUGUAGCUGCUCUUCCAAUCAAUGGGACCUUUGUAUGCAGCAGGGCGGAAGGAUAUUAUUAUGUGACAAAUGACCACAGGGAAACUCCCAUUAUUUUCCUUGUGUCUGAGAAAUUAUAAAUGUGUAAUAAGGAACACUUUGUAGUAACCCUUGUUAAUUUAUGAUUUUAAAUAUGAAUGUGAAUUUAUUGGAAUGACACAAUAAAGAGUCACCAUGGGCACCGAUUAUAAUUAUCACCAAGUACAAUGAAGCAGAGAAAGAAACUAUCUCGCUCCUAAAUGGCAUCAUCCAUAUAAGCCUUGCCUUGUUCAAAGCUACUCUGUAGUAUUUUCUUUUAAAUAAAAUAAAUAAGGCACAAAUAAACAACA